GGCUUCGUAGUUCAACUGAUAGAGCGAUUGCAGCGUUUGGGCAUGCUGUUUCUGUUGUUGGUUCGAAUCCAGCUGAAGCCC